rnacentral:lncRNA from 1 species
GGCCUGGGCAGCGGCAAACCGAAGGCUGUUGGAAGCUGCGGCGCGACUCCGGGCAACGGACUGGAAAAGGGGCGCGGAGACAGCGGACGAGCAGCGGGGGGACUUGCGCCGAUGAAGCCUCUCGCCCCUGCCGAAAACGGAGGUCUCAAGGGCGUGCGUCGUGCCAAGGCCAGGUUCUGGAAGCUUGCCGGGAGCGUCACGAAAGGACGCCCAUCUCUCCCUUCCUUCUCGUCUGCAACGGCGCUGGCGGUCUGCGCGCCACCUUCGCUGCACGUUCCCUCUUCGGCCUCGUCCACUGCCGUCUCCGCUUUGCUCUCGUCCGCCGGCUCCGUCGCCUGUAGCUCAGCGUCCAAGUCGCCAGGAACGAAGGCGGCGAUCGGGCCAGUGUCCCCUUGACGGGCACGCGAACACAGUGUGAGGUUCUCAGACAAGUGCUGCAUCUUCGCCGCCCGAUCUUCGCCCUCGUAGGAACUGAGGACUGACUCUCCAGCACUGGCGAGGCGGCUACGGUCGCCGCUUGACAGGGUCUCUCGUGGCCACACGCCUGGAUGCCACGCCGUGGGCGUCACCGGGCGACUGCCAGGCCUUCGUUGAGACGCGUCGGACAACUCCGUCGCUGCCGCCGGGGACGCGCUUGCCUCGGGGUGUUGCGCAUCUUCUGUUUGGUCGGGACCAGGCUGCGACUGCGGCAGAGCAGAAGCGGGCGCAUCCUCUUGACCUCCGGCGCUCUCAGAAGCCGCGUCGAUGUGAGUCGGAAGGUUCGCGGUACUGCGUCUGGACAGGGCUGGUGCUCCGCCCGCCCCGCCCUCAAGUUCCGUGGCCCGUGUAAGCAGUGGGAGCGGUGCCGGUGGAGGGGUUGGAGACGGCGUCGUUUCCGAUGGCCCAGCGGAACUGCAGUUUAUCCCGUCUUCGCGUUUUGCUCCUUCGCUGUGGUUCGAGGCAGGUCGAGACCUCUCCAGCGCUUCCGUCGGGCGGGGAGCCGUCUCUCGAGUGAGGCGCGGUGGCUUCGCGCUUGAGUCUUCAGACGAGUGUCGCGAGUCCUGGAGAGUGCUGGCGCAACGCCGUCCCUCUCGAACCCCGUUGUCGCCUUGGUCGUCUCCGCGUUCUUGGCCCAAGCUCUCGAUGCGCUCAAAGAGCUCUGCGAGGUUCUCUGUUGAGCCAUGGCGAGAGGAGCGUGGAGACUCUCUGCGCUGUUCGCACGGCGAAGUGUCCGAAGGAGCACUGUUUUGCGUCUCGAAGGCUGGUGACCUCAGCGGCACGCCGCUCCUCUCUUCGCUGGCGCUGUCUCCUCUGGCAGGCGCACGCCCCUCAUCUGCAUUCGCUUCACUUGCGGGUUCGAGACGCUCGCCAUCCACACUCCGAGACGUUUCCCCGACGCCAAAUUCCUCACGUCUUUCCUCUCGAACUUGUUCGGGCUCCAACUUUCUGUCAGGUCUGCUUCCUUCCUGCGCUUCUGAACUGCCCUCCAGGUCGUCUCUUCCGCCGACCUCUUCUUUUCUUGCGCGGCUUCGUUUGUUGUCGUCUUCAUCAGUGACAGACGGCGCCAUCUCCUCCUCUCCUGAAUGUCCGACAGCGGCAUGCGGACUUCGUCCCUCUCGCUCUCUCUCUCCUUUUUGUUCCUCUUCGUGAUCUGCAACGACUUCGCUGGCCAAUGCCGGGUGGGCUCGCGGACCCGUUUCUUCGAGCCCUCUGUCUUCGUCUCCUUUUUCUUCUCUUUCGAGAGCUUGUCCCUCCUCCUGGCCUCUCCCUGAGUCCGCUGCGUCCGUUCCCUUGUCCCCACCGUUCUUCUCUUCUGGUGUCGCUUGUGGCCCCUCUGCUUGUUCCACUUCCUCCCCUGUCUCCUGCGUGGCCACUUUUCGCGAGGCGGCGCUAUCCGCCUGCGGCGCGUCGGCUGUCUCCGCUCCCAGGGCGUUCGUUCCAGGCUCAUCGCGGCUCCUCGCUGCCUCCUCAGAUUUUGACGGUUUCGCAGGCAGUGUCGGCCCGGACGCACGUUUCCUGAAGCCCGAGUCGCGACUUCUGUUCUCACGAGGCGCGUCCGUUUUCCGCCGCAUUUGGGUCGUGCUUGCGGCCAGAGGUUUCGGGGGGAUCUCUCGAGUCUCCGUGGUGGAGCCCCCGGCUGCCGGCGCGCGCUCGCCUGCUCGUUUCUUCGACAGUUGCACAAACACUUUCUCCUUUCCUCGCGACCGCGGGAGGAACAGCCCUCUGUGCGAUCUGGCGUAGGCGCUUCCACUGCGCGGGGCUCGACGAGAGCCGUGCGUUCCGCCUCCCGGCGUCGAAGCCGCAGACACUCCGUCCCGGCCUUCUCCGUCGAUGCUCGGCUUCGUGUCUGCUUGCUGCCUAGGGGAACAGCUGCCUGGCGAAUGCAAGAAACUGACGCUGCCACAGUGCGAGCUGCCGCUUCCUGAAAGCGCUGGAGUCUGCGAAAACGAGGUCGCCCUGGACAGGUGCGAACAGACGCCCGGUGCGGCGGGUCGGUAGGCUGCAGAAGCGGAGAGUGUUUUGCGGGUCAGUCGGCGAGGCAGGCGCAGCGUUCAGCAGAGAGAAAGCACCAAACAGCCAGAGGACAAGGCGGUGGGAAAUGCAGGAACGCGUAUACGCAGAGAGAAACGGACACAGAAGGGAAAACGGUCGAGAGCAAAGCAGCUGCAAACGAGGAAGCGUCGAGAAGGCAAGCACGAUGCAGGCGCACGAACAUGCGUGACGAACUGCAAGGAGACGAGAAAGUAGAGUUGGCGGGCCAGACAACAUCGAGGGACGACGUGAACCCCGGUUGCUUCGGGUCUAGCCAGGGGGUUAAACGCUCUGUCGCUCCGCCUUGACGAUGGCCACGCGUUCACCCGAAUGACUUCUGAUGCGUUUGUGUUACAUAAAGGAGACGCACGCAUCUUGCAUUUCUCUUUGCUUGCUUUCUUUUCUCCUUGACACUUUCUGGCCUUUCUGGUGAUGCAGUGUCCUCCCGUUCUCAUGCCGUUGCGUGCAGCUUCUUAGGAUUCCUACCUGCAGGAUCAAGAGCGGGGGUGGCUAGAAGACACAUUUUCUCGGAGAGACACGGCGCCCCAGAGCCAUCGCCUCUUUUCCUUCUUUGUUUGUUCAGUGCAUGAAUCGUCCGUUCCCGAAGUUCGCCAAUACUCAACGGCCGGUCUGCGAUCCACGCAUCGCUACUUGCCCCAUCGGUCCCUAGCCCACAGUGAUCGUCUUCGCUGUCGUCUUCUCCGCGUCCAUGCGUCGGCAACCCCCCUUCAGGCGACGACCCACACUCCCCCCGGGGUGCUCCACCGCCUGGCUGUAGCCCCUCUCCCGAGUCGGCUGCAUGCGACUGGGAAGGGUCUGAGACUCGGGGUUCGCCUCCCACGUCCCCCCGACACUUGGGCGCUCCGCGCAUUCCUCCCCCUUUGCGUCGGAUGCCUUCCUCGCUUCCCACAGGCCGAGGCGGAUCACUGGAGCCUCCAGUUCGGAACUCUUCUCGUGGGUCGAUGCUGACUGGCGGGCUGCGACUGCCCCCAUAUCCAGAGAGUGCGGCGGGUCCCCCCGAGUUUCCCGAGGCGCCAGGGUGGCCGGGGAGCGGGGCACAAGAAGCACCACUUCCCUUGAAAGACGCGGUACCACCAACCUGUGAAUUUGAAGCGGUGGGAGUGGUGCACAUGGUUCUUCGGCUUGGCGUACCAAUGGGAUGUCCUGUCCCGGUGCCUGGGGGCCUAAACGUGCUGGGAGACAGAAGGCGAGGCUCCGGCGAUGGCGAAGCGAAUCCCUGACCCCUGGAGCCUCCUGGAGCCCAGUUCCCGCUGUGCGGAGCGCCGGGCAAGGGUGGAGGGCCAGGCGCUGUAGGAGAGUCGACGUCGUUGGAGACUUCGGGUGGGGCGGGGGACCGCGCCGCGGCGAGCAGGUUGCCUUGGUUCGCCAAGAUAAACUUUUCGAGAUACCAAAGGAGAGGGAGAAUGUUUCUUGUUUCUCCACUGCCGCAGGAUCCUUGAGAAGACGCCCCGUCGGGCGCCCCGUGGGAGCAAUCGCGACGGGCGGUUGGCGAUGCACCGCGAGAGCCUGCGACUCCAGUCUGUCUACUGGCGACGGCGGCGCAUUCCUCUGCUGUCCCCGGAGGUGGAGGCUCGUCACAGCAGACAGGGCCUUUCCAGAUCUGGCCAACGAGGGUUGUGGCUUCGGUUAGAAUCUCGUGCGUUUGGGCGAGGCAGUGAAGUUGGUGCUGAACGAGGGCAUUUUUACCGGCUGUCGCGAACAGCAUUUUCGAGAUUUGAGCAGCCUCGUCACGCAGCGACGCGUCUGUUACCUGCAGAGCAAUCGCCUCGUGCUGAGCAUGUUGCUGAAUGUGCGACUCGAGCUCCCGUGUUUUCGCUUCCACUGCCUCCAACUCAAAGUUCAAGGUGUUCACGUAGGUCAUGAUGC